AUUACUGUUUAUUAAUUAAUAUUAAUUAUUUAAAUGUAUUAUAAGCUUAACAUUUCGUGUAACUUUUGGUUCUAAUAACUUAAUAAAUGUAUUCGUUCUUAAGACUGAAUUGGCUACUUUUAAAGGCACAUUUUAUAAUUGCAAAAAAAAAUUUUCUUUUGUCUAUAUUUGUGUAUUAUUUUAAUUUUAUUAAUUAUUAUUUUCAUGUUAUAUUGAAGUAUAAAGGAAUUUAAGAUCUGAAAUUUGAUAUACGCCUUUUUUGGGCGUAAAUAAAAUAAUGCCAAAACAAAAAUAUGUAUUCUUUGUACUCAUUGUAAAAAUGUUUAUCAUGUAACAUUUUUAAUUCUUGUAACUUUGUAAGAUUGUAAUUAGAAUAUUUAUGCCUUCUCGCAGUUGCUCUUCUGUGAUUGUUAAUGGUGGCGAUAUCCUAAUAAUUUGACCGUGUGCAGGUCUUGUCAACAAUCCAGCAUCUCGCAGCUUCAGACAGAUAUCCCAACCAUCAGCAAAUUCUAUAAAUAAAAGAUUCAUCAAAUGUAUCAUACAUCAAAUGUAUCAUACAUAACAAGAUUCAAUGUUUUUUAUGUACAAGGUGUAUUGGAGUUUUGGAAAGUUCUGAAGACUUUUGACACAGCUUAUAUGUAUACACACACACGCGCACGCACGGUAUUCGGCAACAGGUAGGAUAUACAGUGACCGGCAAAAGUAAAAAGCCACCUCAUCUAUAAGACUGGUUUGUUUCAUAAAGGUAAAAAAUGUUAUAGGUUUUUAUAAUUGGAAAAAUUAAGGAGAUUCAACACUUUUUGUACACCCUGUAUAAUACAAAAAAAGGAAGGUGUUGUUUGAUUUAUAAUCUAUUUAUCACUUUAUCAUACUUUUUCGUUUAAAGAUAUUGACAAUGCGGAAUAAAGUCGCAAGAUAUGAUUCGAAAUUUA